UGGGUGCAGGUUAUGUUGGUUAUGGACAUGGAAGUACCUGCAUUUGUCCAACCUGUACAAGUAUGUAUUAUUUUAUUUAUUUUAACUUCGUCCUCUUUCCUAUGGUGUUUCGUCCGUUUGUCUGCCUGAUCUUGUAUGCAUUGUUUUAGCGCAAGAGGAGGAGAGAUUCCCAAAAAUGUGUGGAAGGCUCGUGGAGACGAUACAAAUGAAUGUGCGAAGGCUCACUUCCCUGAGGAGACUUCUGCCGGAGUCCUGGUUAUUCUCCUGUGUCACUGCUCUUGUGGUCAGAGCGAUCUUCUCUGCUGUAUGCUCCCAGUACAUGGAGAGACUUCGUGAGAUGUGUCUUGACGUUAUUUUAUUCAUUUGGUUAAUAUUUCCAUCUGAUUAUUGCCUCCAGUGUUUGGUUUGAUUUAUUGUUUUCCGGUGUAGGUUUUGAUGAUUACGAUUUAAAUGGUGAAUACGGAGGUGUCCUCGUCGAAGGUUCCUUGUGCAGACUGUCCCACGCAAGAGGAAGACGGGUUCCAAAAUGUGUGAGUGGUCCCAGAAGGCGUAGUCAACGUGUGAAGUGUCGUGUGACAUUUGUGUUGAUUAUGUUCGUUGCUGAUAUGUAUAUAUAUAUAUAUUAUUUUGUUGGUUAAAUCUUUAGUCAGUUUAGUUGAAUAUUCUGUAAUAUAAUAUUUGCAAAGUAGUUUUGUAUAUUUUAUUGUAUUUAUUUGAUUAUUAGUUGUUUGAUUUGAUAAUAAUAAUAAUAUAUAUAUAUAUAUAUAUUUAUUUAUUUAUUUUACAAUAUAAAAUUUCUUUGAGUUUAUUAGUUUUAAUAUGUGAUAUCUUGCGUUUUAUUUCUUUUACAUGUGUUAGGUUGUGUAUAUAUAUCUAUAUGUGUAUAUGUCCCAUGAUGUAACUUCGUAUAGAAUUCUUUUAAUAUUAAAAUGUUAGUUACUCUUAA